UACAGAGGUCCCGAGCGUUGUUCGAAUUUAUUGGGCGUAAAGGGUGCGUAGGCGGCGGAGUAAGUUGGGUGUGAAAUCCCGGGGCUUAACCUCGGAAUUGCAUUCAAUACUGCUUCGCUCGAGUACUGGAGAGGAGGCUGGAAUUUACGGUGUAGCAGUGAAAUGCGUAGAUAUCGUAAGGAAGGCCGGUGGCGAAAGCGAGCCUCUGGACAGUUACUGACGCUGAUGCACGAAGGCCAGGGGAGCAAACGGG
rnacentral:rRNA from 1 species